rnacentral:rRNA from 1 species
UGACCUCGAAUCAGGUAGGGAUACCCGCUGAACUUAAGCAUAUCAAUAAGCGGAGGAAAAGAAACCAACAGGGAUUGCCUUAGUAACGGCGAGUGAAGCGGCAAUAGCUCAAAUUUGAAAUCUGGCUUCCUUGGAAGUCCGAGUUGUAAUUUGCAGAGGGCGCUUUGGCGUCGGUAGCGGUCUAAGUUCCUUGGAACAGGACGUCACAGAGGGUGAGAAUCCCGUACGUGGUCGACUACCUUCGCCGUGUAAAGCCCCUUCGACGAGUCGAGUUGUUUGGGAAUGCAGCUCUAAAUGGGAGGUAAAUUUCUUCUAAAGCUAAAUACUGGCCAGAGACCGAUAGCGCACAAGUAGAGUGAUCGAAAGAUGAAAAGCACUUUGGAAAGAGAGUCAAACAGCACGUGAAAUUGUUGAAAGGGAAGCGCUUGCCGCCAGACGUGCCCGUGGUGGUUCUCCUCCGCGGGCAGGCCAGCAUCAGUUUGGGCGAUCGGAUAAAGGCCUCUGUCAUGUAUCUCCCUUCGGGGUGACCUUAUAGGGGAGGCGCAAUGCGAUCAGCCCGGACUGAGGUCCGCGCAUCUGCUAGGAUGCUGGCGUAAUGGCUGUAA